AUUUGCCUUUAUGCCUUUCCCCGGCAGCGGGGAAAUUGAACUAUUAAAACGAAAAAAAUCAAAUGCCCGGCCAUAUUCCCGGGGGGGGAUGGUAACUCUUGGAAUUGACUCAUGCAUUACCUACAAGUCUACAACCCUAAAACAUGGCAGACAGGUUAUACUUUGUAAGACACCUUCGCAACUCUAUUUUGGGUUGUAUUGUUGACCUCGAAGGAAGUCCAGAUCGGGAUUUUUGCGUUUUUCGUAUUGAUUCUCUUUACCAUACAACGUUGCCAUUUGCUGAAGUAUUCGAGCUUGAAGAGGCUGUUCUGCAGUUAAUCUCAAACGCAAUAGAACUUUUAAAUGUCGAUGUUCAUCAUGAUAUUAAUCCAUCUUCUUCAUUGAACUGCCCUCAAGUUUUCAGUGGCACACUAGGGCGACCAAUGUAUGAAGUAAACGAAGAUAUUCAGCGUUAUUUCUUGGAUAAGUGUUUUACAGUGAAAGAUACGGCAAAUCUUCUGGGAGUCAGCAAAAGAACCAUUGAAAGGAGGAUGAACGAGUUUGGUUAAUCAGUUUCUAAUUGUUAUUUUGACGUUAACGAUAGAGAUUUCGAGUUGGUCAUAAGAAACUUAACGAACGAGUUUCCCAAUCUUGGCUACAAACGUAUGUCAGGAUUGCUGUUAGCAAGAGGUUUGCGAAUUCAGCAGGACAGGAUUCGUGAAAUGAUGCGAAGAGUUGAUCCACAGGGUACAUUGUUUCGUGCUUUGUCUCUUAGAGCAGUGCACAGACGUAAAUAUCAUGUUACUAGCCCAUUAUCACUUUGGCAUGUUGAUGGAAUCACAAAUUGAUUAGCACAAACCAUCGAGCUGAAACUGUUCUAAAUCUAUUUCUAUCUGGUGUAUCUCAAUAUGGACUGCCAUCCAGAGUAAGAACAGAUAAAGGAGGUGAAAAUGAAGGUUACAAUAGAUCUCCCAUAAGAACAGAAAGAAAUUUAUCACCUGAACAGCUAUGGAUCCAAGGAUCCUGCUAAGCCAAUAAUUCAAAUGACCAUAUACAGCAGGUAAACCAAGAAUUUCCACGCACCUUUACACAAAACUACACAUGUCAUGAAACAGAUCAGCAGCAAGUGAUUGUUCAAUUGAAUGAAAUAGAUCUUGAUGAGCUGCAAAGAACCUGUUGGUGUCAAUUCAGAUAAUACAAAAAAAGAUAUGUUUUUUUUUUUUUUUUUUUUAUAAUGCUAUAAAUUUUUCAUUAUGUUGAUUAUUCAAACAUUUUAGCAGAAAACAUUUUUUAGCACCUAAAUGCUGAUGCACUAUCAGAACAAAAUUUAAUGAAACAUUAACAAAUUCACUUUAAGU